GACAGAGGGUGCAAACGUCGUUCGGAAUUACUGGGCGUAAAGCGUGUGUAGGCGGUCUCAUAAGUCGGAUGUGAAAGCCCCGGGCUCAACCCGGGAAGUGCAUUCGAAACUGCGAGGCUAGAGUAUCGGAGAGGUUGGUGGAAUUCUCGGUGUAGAGGUGAAAUUCGUAGAUAUCGAGAGGAACACCGGUGGCGAAGGCGGCCAACUGGACGAAUACUGACGCUGAGACACGAAAGCGUGGGGAGCAAACAGG
rnacentral:rRNA from 1 species